UUUUUUACAUUGUUUUGACUAAACCCAUUCGACAGCUAUCUUCAGCUGCUUCUUUUCUUCUUCUUCCUCAUUUUCUCUCUCUUUAAACCUAUUUUAUUCCUUUAUUGUUGCUCUUUUAUAGCUUGAUUUUGAUGACUUUAUAGAGGGAUUUUGGGGUUGCCAUGGGAAUGAAAAAUAUUCCUUAGAGAGAGGGCUUUCCAUUGAUGUAAACAUCAAGCUCAUUCCCUCAAUUCUGAUUUUUUUGAAUUCCCUUUAGAGUGGGAAUUUUGUGGUGCUUCAAGAGAGGAUUUUGUUCCUCUUGUCCUCUUAUUCAUCUUGGUGCUUCUUGGCAAACAUUUGGUGAACCUUAGAUUUCGAAAUUUGGGGGCUCUUUUGAAGAUCUUACUUGGUUGAGGACACAGAAAGGAAGUGGCGAAAGACAUUCCCCCACAGGCUUAGAUAGGACUUAAUGGACUUUCUUAUAUUAAUUUUUUGUUGUAUAUACAAGUUUUGUAAAACUUUAAACUUGUUUUGUAUCUCUUUCGUAAGCUUAUGUUUAGGGACUGUAGUUGGAUGUAAUGUAUCAUGUAAAUGAACUUUUGGUUUUUCGUCUAUAUGUAUGAUCAUGAUAUUACCAUUAUAGACGCAUGUGGUGACUAUUAUGGGACAGGGUUAGCCUUUAACAUGGCUCACAAAUGAGUUCAGAAAUUACAGUACUUUAAAAACUUAGAAUCCGUAUUUCAGUUUUCAGAUUUGGUAUGAUGUGUUUCCUUGUAGUUUAGAAUUGGUAAUGAUUGUAGUGACAGUAGAUGACCUCGGGUUCGAGUAAGGUGUAAAGUUACCGAUUUUCCCUAUUUUAUAUUUUCUGGAAUUUAAUUGAUUUUCUGCAUUAUUUUAAUCCUUUUCUCGUUUGGUAUGCCACGCUGGUCCCGAAGGGUGUUUUGGUCAUUUUGAGUUGAGGGGCUUUAGAAGUGUGUUUUAUUUGUCAUUCUAAGUUAAUUAGAAAUGACGGUUUCAUUUGCAGAUUUUUUUAGAAGUCAGGAUGAUUUCUAGACUCAAGAAUUUCUCCUAGUUUUCUUAUCGUAAGGGAAGGGCAUCAUCGGCAUUUCACAUGUGUGUGUGUAUUUGUAUUCAUGUAUGUAUGUUGUAUUAGUGACAUUAAAUGGAGGGUGAUAUUUUAUGGCAUUGUUGAAGUUAUAAAGAAGUUCAGUGGGCAUUUUUGUUAUUUUGGCUUCAUGAACCAACCUAGAGAAUCUAGAUUCCAAGAGGGUAGCUAUAUUUUGACCCAUUCUUUUCUUUUCCUUCGGUAGACAUGCUCUUUCUCUCUCUAUAUUGCUCUCUUCCUUCUCUUUAGAAUUUCUUCAUAUUAGAAGAAGAUUUGGUUUAAGCCGGAGUUAGCAAAUUAUAGAUCAUUGCAAGGGCUACAUUUUGGUCCCGAUAUUACAAGCUUUUGGUGGAAUUUGAGUCUGGAGCUUGGAGCUUGGGUUGCUAUCUUGAGGUAGGGGAAGUCUAAACUACGAAUUCCUAUAGUUUUAGUGAGUUUCCUAUGUAUUCUUUACAUGUAAAUCUUGUUGGUGUGAGCAUAUUUAGUUUUGUCAAGUAUUGAGUUGUGAAGUAUGAUUUAUUCUUGAUCUACAUGAUUAGUGAUGAAAUGAUUUACGAAUUUGUGAAAUUUAUGUAUGAUGUUAUGGUUGGUAUUCCCAUGACCCCUCUUCGUGUUCUCCUCUUCUUUGGUUGUGGCUCACGGUAUUUUUAGGAAUGUAUUUUAGGCUUUUUUCUACUGAGCUGUUGAGAUUACCCUAUUAUCAUUAACAUUUUUCAGGAAUUCUGAGACAAGCCGAAAAAUGAUGUGCAUCCAUGGACACUGAUGUAGCUAGGAAUUUAUUUCAUUUUAUUUAUAUUAAAGCUAUGUAAAUUUUGGCUAGGGAGGUCUCAUCCUUGUAUUUAAUUCUUUUCAAUUGUAUAAAAUGAGACUGUGUUAUUAUUUCAUGAUGAAUGGGUAAUAGAGUUAUGUUUUGAUCAA